rnacentral:rRNA from 1 species
GACGAACGCUGGCGGCGCGCCUAACACAUGCAAGUCGAACGAGCGAGAGAGAGCUUGCUUUCUCGAGCGAGUGGCGAACGGGUGAGUAACGCGUGAGGAACCUGCCUCAAAGAGGGGGACAACAGUUGGAAACGACUGCUAAUACCGCAUAAGCCCACGGCUCGGCAUCGAGCAGAGGGAAAAGGAGCAAUCCGCUUUGAGAUGGCCUCGCGUCCGAUUAGCUAGUUGGUGAGGUAAUGGCCCACCAAGGCAACGAUCGGUAGCCGGACUGAGAGGUUGAACGGCCACAUUGGGACUGAGACACGGCCCAGACUCCUACGGGAGGCAGCAGUGGGGAAUAUUGCACAAUGGGGGAAACCCUGAUGCAGCGACGCCGCGUGGAGGAAGAAGGUCUUCGGAUUGUAAACUCCUGUUGUUGGGGAAGAUAAUGACGGUACCCAACAAGGAAGUGACGGCUAACUACGUGCCAGCAGCCGCGGUAAAACGUAGGUCACAAGCGUUGUCCGGAAUUACUGGGUGUAAAGGGAGCGCAGGCGGGAAGACAAGUUGGAAGUGAAAUCUAUGGGCUCAACCCAUAAACUGCUUUCAAAACUGUUUUUCUUGAGUAGUGCAGAGGUAGGCGGAAUUCCCGGUGUAGCGGUGGAAUGCGUAGAUAUCGGGAGGAACACCAGUGGCGAAGGCGGCCUACUGGGCACCAACUGACGCUGAGGCUCGAAAGUGUGGGUAGCAAACAGGAUUAGAUACCCUGGUAGUCCACACCGUAAACGAUGAUUACUAGGUGUUGGAGGAUUGACCCCUUCAGUGCCGCAGUUAACACAAUAAGUAAUCCACCUGGGGAGUACGACCGCAAGGUUGAAACUCAAAGGAAUUGACGGGGGCCCGCACAAGCAGUGGAGUAUGUGGUUUAAUUCGACGCAACGCGAAGAACCUUACCAAGUCUUGACAUCCCUUGACAGGCAUAGAAAUAUGUUUUCUCUUCGGAGCAAGGAGACAGGUGGUGCAUGGUUGUCGUCAGCUCGUGUCGUGAGAUGUUGGGUUAAGUCCCGCAACGAGCGCAACCCUUAUGGUCAGUUACUACGCAAGAGGACUCUGGCCAGACUGCCGUUGACAAAACGGAGGAAGGUGGGGAUGACGUCAAAUCAUCAUGCCCUUUAUGACUUGGGCUACACACGUACUACAAUGGCGUUAAACAAAGAGAAGCAAGACCGCGAGGUGGAGCAAAACUCAGAAACAACGUCCCAGUUCGGACUGCAGGCUGCAACUCGCCUGCACGAAGUCGGAAUUGCUAGUAAUCGUGGAUCAGCAUGCCACGGUGAAUACGUUCCCGGGCCU